AAGUGAACACAGAGUUGGACAAGUACUGGAAGGCAGUGAGGGACAACCCAGGGGACUUCACCGGCUGGACUUACCUCCUACAGUAUGUGGAGCAGGAGAAGAAACUAGAUCAAGCCAGAAAAGCUUAUGAUGCUUUCUUUGAGCAUUACCCAUACUGCUAUGGCUACUGGAAGAAGUAUGCUGAUAUGGAAAAGAAACAAUCUGGAGCAGAGAAGGCUUUGGAGGUGUUUGAAAGAGGAACAAAAGCCAUUUCCUUGAGUGUGGAGCUCUGGUUGCAUUAUAUAACAUUUUACACAGAGGAGUUUGGAAAAUUAGAAAAUGGGGAGGAAGGAAUUCGUGGUGUCUUUGAGAAGGCUAUCAAUGCUUGCGGGAAAGAUUUCCGUUCUGACAAACUUUGGGACACAUACAUUUCUUGGGAGGAAAACCUCAUCAAGAAGACAGCUCUAUAUGACCGAAUAUUACAAAUUCCCACUCAACUGUAUAGUCAUCAUUUUGAAAAUUUCAAACACCAUGUUCUUUCACAUCAUCCCAAAGAAAUCCUUACCCUGGACAACUUCCUACAGCUUCGUAAGGAGGUUGUGGUUGGGACAUCAGAGUUGAAUCCAGAGGGAGAAGGUGUGGGAGAUGAUGGCCCCCCAGGAGAAGUCGGACCGCCAGGGGAAGAUGCCCCACCUGGAAUGGAAAUAGAGGGAGAAAAAAGUGAUGAUGAUGAGGCUGGAAAACUCCGAGACAGAAUCAUCAGCGUUAGGGAGGAAAUAUUUAAAAAAACUGAGGAUGAAGUCAGUAAAAGGUGGAACUUUGAAGAAGCUAUCAAGCGGCCAUAUUUUCAUGUGAAACCACUGGAGAAAUCCCAGCUGAAGAAUUGGAAGGACUACCUGGAUUUUGAGAUAGAGGCUGGGGACCAUGAGAGGGUGGUGAUUUUGUUUGAGCGGUGUAUGAUCGCCACAGCUCUGUAUGAGGACUUCUGGCUCAAGUAUGCCAAAUAUAUGGAGGACCACAGCGUUGAGGCUGUUCGUCUAGUGUACAUGAGAGCUUGCAGGAUCCAUCUUCCAAAGAAACCGUACAUAAGUUUAGCAUGGGCAGCUUUUGAGGAAAGACAUGGAAACUAUGAUCUAGCAUCACAGAUCCUGUCGGAACUGGAUAAGAAUGUCCCUGGGUUGGUGAUGGUGAAUAUGAGAAAGAUCAGCCUAGAGCGGCGGAAGGGGAACACAGCGAUGGCUGAGACUCUAUUCCAGGAAUACAUCAACGGCGCCUCCCAGCCAGAAAUCUCCUCCUUCUUCUCCAUCAAGUUUGCCCGGUAUCUCCUAAAGAUAAUUGGAGAUACAGAACGGGCACGGGCCACUCUUCAGUCUGCUGUUGAAAAAGAUAGGGUAAGACUAAUCCCAUGUAAUCGGAAAAAUCAGACACUCGCCAAGUGUGUAGCAAAAUAAUAAGCACAGCUUAAACGGUCAGGUUACUUAUCUUUCUUAUCAUGUUGAUCAUUAUUUUCAGUUGGAACCUUUAAAGCUUAUGAGUUUGGCAGCUCUGAGGUAAUGCUAAUGUGAAACAAAGUCUUGUAAUCUUGUCGUCUUACAGAGGACAGCUUGAUGGUGAUGACAGCCCAGAGUGUAUAAACAAGGUCUUUGUAUGGAAGGCGUUUUGUAUUUUUCAGGGUAACAUAAAGCUCUACCUGCAGCUGUUAGAUCUGGAAUACCAGUGUCGACCAAUCAGUGAGGAGAAUGUCAUCAAAAUCUUUGCCUCCAUUUUGGACUGCGAGAACUUUCCUCUGGAAACAAAGGCCAAGAUGUCUCAACGCAAGCUGGAGUUUUUGGAGGACUUCUGUGCUAGUAUCACAACAUUGAAGGAAUCCUAUGAUGAACAUCAGAAGCUGAUGAAGGAUCUCCACAAUGAGAGGAAGAAGAGGCCCAGUGAUGCUGUAUCUAGUGAAGAACCUGCCGAAAAACGGCCCAAAGUAGAAGCCACACAGAACGGAUCGGGUGAUCAGAGUCAAAUGACAGGAGCCGUGGACCCAUACUAUGGUCACUGGGGGUCCUACGCAAACAGUGGCUACUCCUACCCUCCCCAGCAGUGGGGCUAUGGACAGCACUACUACCCCUCAUGAAAGCAGCUAGCUACUGGGCGUACUCAUCACUCAUCAUUGCUCAUCAGAUUCUCAUGAUUAAAUUGUGAUUUAUGUCCAAUAUGUGCGUCAGGAAAUAGACUCUUAUGAAGAAGACAAGAAUUGUGAUUUGUAGAUGUAUGACAUUCUAUUUUGUUGUGUUGAUGAACUUGUAUUUUAAGCCUGCAUCAUGGUUUUUAUGAAAUAAAACGUUCUCCUAAUGCAGAGAGAUUCACAA
rnacentral:misc_RNA from 1 species